rnacentral:pre_miRNA from 1 species
UCUUCAUUUUACGUGCUCUUUCACCGGUGAGAGUGACGAGAGAGUGUGCGAAAUGAAGAGA